AAAGAUACGAAGCCCUUCAGACACACAAACAGGCCUCUCUCUAGAAAUCCCUCCCCCCUCUCUCUAAAAUCACAUCUCUGCUAAAAUUUCAUGACUCAGCUCUAAAUCUUUCUAAUCAAAAUGUGAAUCUCAUUUAUCAGGUAUGUGUUCAAAUCCCUAUUCUUUUCCUUUUUCUUUUAGAACGAAAAAUCUGAUAUAGCUGUUGUUCAAAUCCAUAUCGAUUUUGUGGUGGAAGAAUUGAACAACUGAUUUCUCUCAUAUAGCUGCUAGUGACCCUAAUUCUUUCUUUUUUGUUUAUACCCAUACUAGUUUAUAUAUAAAUUUAUUUUUGGAUUUUUUUAUAAGGAUUCUUUAAGGCAAAAUUUUCAACAUGCAGUUAGGGAUUAUUGUUAUUUCAGUAAUUUUAUAUUUGUAUUCUUAGAUUUUAUCUCGAAUUUCUCUGAACCAUUUGAUAAUCUAUAGGAAUACAAAAAAAAGAGCCGCACAGGAAGACUCAUUUGAGGCGUAUUUGGUGUUGUUGUUGAUUUUCAGUCUUGACAGAACUCGACUAUCUUAGUUUGGG
rnacentral:lncRNA from 1 species